rnacentral:tRNA from 1 species
AAAGUUAUAAAAAUUAUUUUGAAAAUAAUUUAUUAAAAAACUUUU